UACGAGGGGGGCGAGCGUUGUUCGGAAUUAUUGGGCGUAAAGGGUGCGUAGGCGGUUUGGUAAGUCUUAUGUGAAAUCUAUGGGCUCAACUCAUAGUCUGCAUGAGAAGCUGCCGGGCUUGAGUGUGGGAGAGGUGAGUGGAAUUUCCGGUGUAGCGGUGAAAUGCGUAGAUAUCGGAAGGAACACCUGUGGCGAAAGCGGCUCACUGGACCACAACUGACGCUGAUGCACGAAAGCUAGGGGAGCAAACAGG
rnacentral:rRNA from 1 species